rnacentral:rRNA from 1 species
GACGAACGCUGGCGGCGUGCUUAACACAUGCAAGUCGAACGGGAUUUAGUAAACGGAAGCCUCGGUGGAAGAUUACUAAUGAGAGUGGCGAACGGGUGAGUAACGCGUGAGCAACCUGCCUAUGACAGUGGGAUAGCCUCGGGAAACCGGGAUUAAUACCGCAUAAAAUCGUAGAAACACAUGUUUCAACAGUCAAAGAUUUAUCGGUCAUAGAUGGGCUCGCGUCUGAUUAGCUAGUUGGUGAGAUAACAGCCCACCAAGGCGACGAUCAGUAGCCGGUCUGAGAGGAUGAACGGCCACAUUGGAACUGAGACACGGUCCAAACUCCUACGGGAGGCAGCAGUGGGGAAUAUUGCACAAUGGGGGAAACCCUGAUGCAGCGACGCCGCGUGAACGAAGAAGGUAUUCGUAUCGUAAAGUUCUGUCCUAUGGGAAGAUAAUGACAGUACCAUAGAAGAAAGCUCCGGCUAAAUACGUG